ACGGGAAAAGCGACCGGGGAAAUCACGGGAAAAGCGCCCGGAGCUCGGGAAUGGCCGCGGGGGAACCGCCGGGACAGCGGGUCCUGCCCCUCUGCUCCGCCCUGGAGAGGGAAAAGCGCCCGGAGCUCGGGAAUGGCCGUGAGGGGAACCGCCGGGACAGCGGGUCCUGCCCCUCUGCUCCGCCCCGGAGAGGCCGCGGCUGAGGUGCUGUGCCCAGCUCGGGGCUCCGGGGUACGAGAUAAAGCUGCUGGACAAGGUCCAGCACGGGCCACAAAGAUGAUUUGGGGUUUGGAGUAUCUCUUAUAAGAGACUGCCGGAGCUGAUUUUAUAGUCCAUUGAUGUUUAAACCGUGUGGCUCAGCCUAAGCCUGGUAGCUGAGUAGAUGUUUAGAAUAUAGACAUCUCUGCUAUGGCCUUUUUCCCAGUUUUAGUCUGGCCAAAGCACUUAUUUUCAUAUUUAGCAGAGUGGCCUUUCAGCAUCGUUUUCUAUUUGGCCCUGGAAGGGUUGGGCCCACAUCCAGGAAGGUACUUAGGAUUUGACAUCAGCGGGAUAUAGAUGCUUUAUAUAUUUAUAAAGGGUGCUUUCAUUUAAGAUUUGCUGAUCUGUUGAUACCUGUGUACACUCUGAAGCCUCAUCGUCUUCCAGAACAGGAUGGUAACUGAUGACAGAGUUCCAGAGUCCGUGGCAGCGGCUGCCUUGGAGGGCCUGCGCUCUGGGCUUUGCACAAGAUCAGGAUAAUUUGGGAAACUUUCCUGGUGUUUAACUGAUGUCCUGACCUCAACGAAUCUAUUUCAGGUCGCAGGAAGAUGGAUUCUCCAGGCACGUUCCCCACCACAGGCUGCGGAUCCCAAGGCCAUUGAACCCUCUGGGACCUGGACACCGGAGCUCCCGUCCUGCCUUCUCCCUUAUCUCUGUGUUUGGCAGGUGUCUGGCCAUGGAUUUCACACUUCCACUGACCUCUGAGCGCUGCCAAGGCGAGGGAGGCACAUCGAGCAGAUAACAUGUCCCCAUUCCACCUCCACCUCCCCGAGGCCCUUAGGGAGACUUAUUUAAAAAUAUGCCAGAUUUAAGGUCUGUCUCGAGGCAAAUAAAAACUGUGGAUUGUUUAAACCACAUUUUCACGGCCUGCAGAUUUAGUACAGGAGUUGUAUUCUGGUAGCACAAAAAUUCAAAUGACACAUAGAGCAAGCAUGCAAUCUACAACACAUAUUUUGCUUUCAUACACAGUACGCCUGCAUAAUUCCCCAUCAAAUUCUCACUUUUGAGGUUUCCGUGAAUUAGAAGCAAAACCAUGACCUUGAAAAUGAGUUACAUAAGCAGCGUGGAUCGUGGAGUCGUUUAGGUUCUAAAAGACCCUUAAAGAUCAUGCACAUUGUUAAGCGCUUUAUUACCACCAAUUCCCGGCUGAAAUAAUUUGCUGCAAAAUCCCGAUGGUGACCAGCAGAGCCCUCAUUUAGAAAGCAGGGAAGCAAGAAUAAGUUUUAAUCCGAGGGGGAAGCUGUGUAGGCUGCGGGUGUUACACAAACGCAGGUUGGAUGGCGAGGCCACGGAGAAACGCGUUUCUUGCCUCACUUUUGGAUCAAAGACACUUGUUGGUACUUCUUCAGGCCUCCUUGGGGAACAAACAAACAACCAGAGCGGCGGUGAUUUUGCGGAGAUCCGGUGAAAAGCGCUUAGCGAUGGUUCCUCCCGGUGCCGACGCGGUGUCUGGUGACCUUUAGAGGUGACAGGGACGGCGCGGCCUCUCUCCCAUUCAUCCCGCAGCGCCCGCGCCCUCCCCGCGCUCCCGGGUCCGUCCCCUCCCCGCCCAGC